rnacentral:rRNA from 1 species
GUGCCAGCAGCCGCGGUAAUACGGAAGGUCCGGGCGUUAUCCGGAUUUAUUGGGUUUAAAGGGAGCGCAGGCGGGUUUUUAAGCGUGACGUGAAAUGUGGCGGCUCAACCGCGAACUGCGUCGCGAACUGGGAGCCUUGAGUGGGUACGACGUAGGCGGAAAUUCGUGGUGUAGCGGUGAAAUGCAUUAGAUAUCACGAAGAACCCCGAUUGCGAAGGCAGCCUACGAGUCCUCAACCUGACGCUAAUGCUCGAAGGUGCGGGUAUCGAACAGGAUUAUGAUACCCUGGUAGUCCGCACGGUAAACGAUGGAUGCCCGCUGUAUGCGAUACACGGUAUGCGGCCAAGCGAAAGCGUUAAGCAUCCCACCUGGGGAGUACGCCGGCAACGUGAAACUCAAAGGAAUUGACGGGGGCCCGCACAAGCGGAGGAACAUGUGGUUUAAUUCGAUGAUACGCGAGGAACCUUACCCGGGCUUGAACUGCAGCAGAACGAUUCAGAGAUGAUGAGGCCCUUCGGGGCUGCUGUGGAGGUGCUGCAUGGUUGUCGUCAGCUCGUGCCGUGAGGUGUCGGCUUAAGUGCCAUAACGAGCGCAACCCCUCUCUUCAGUUGCCAUCAGGUAUAGCUGGGCACUCUGGAGACACUGCCACCGUAAGGUGUGAGGAAGGUGGGGAUGACGUCAAAUCAGCACGGCCCUUACGUCCGGGGCUACACACGUGUUACAAUGGGUGGUACAGAGAGCAGGCCGCCGGCAACGUCGGCCGAAUCAUGAAAGCCAUCCUCAGCUCGGAUUGGGUCUGCAACCCGACCCCAUGAAGCUGGAUUCGCUAGUAAUCGCGCAUCAGCCAUGGCGCGGUGAAUACGUUCCCGGGCCUUGUACACACCGCCCGU